rnacentral:rRNA from 1 species
AUACGUAGGGAGCGAGCGUUGUCCGGAAUUACUGGGUGUAAAGGGAGCGUAGGCGGGAGUGCAAGUCAGAUGUGAAAUACAUGGGCUCAACCCAUGGGCUGCAUUUGAAACUGCAUUUCUUGAGUGAAGUAGAGGUAAGCGGAAUUCCUGGUGUAGCGGUGAAAUGCGUAGAUAUCAGGAGGAACACCGGUGGCGAAGGCGGCUUACUGGGCUUUUACUGACGCUGAGGCUCGAAAGCGUGGGGAGCAAACAGGAUUAGAUACCCUGGUAGUCCACGCUGUAAACGAUGAUUACUAGGUGUGGGGGGACUGACCCCUUCCGUGCCGCAGUUAACACAAUAAGUAAUCCACCUGGGGAGUACGGCCGCAAGGUUGAAACUCAAAUGAAUUGGCGGGU